rnacentral:rRNA from 1 species
CCUACGGGAGGCAGCAGUGGGGAAUAUUGGACAAUGGGGGCAACCCUGAUCCAGCCAUGCCGCGUGUGUGAAGAAGGCCCUCGGGUUGUAAAGCACUUUCAGUGAGGAAGAACGCCUGGUGGUUAAUACCCAUCAGGAAAGACAUCACUCACAGAAGAAGCACCGGCUAACUCCGUGCCAGCAGCCGCGGUAAUACGGAGGGUGCGAGCGUUAAUCGGAAUUACUGGGCGUAAAGCGCGCGUAGGUGGCUUGAUAAGCCGGUUGUGAAAGCCCCGGGCUCAACCUGGGAACGGCAUCCGGAACUGUCAAGCUAGAGUGCAGGAGAGGAAGGUAGAAUUCCCGGUGUAGCGGUGAAAUGCGUAGAGAUCGGGAGGAAUACCAGUGGCGAAGGCGGCCUUCUGGACUGACACUAACACUGAGGUGCGAAAGCGUGGGUAGCAAACAGGAUUAGAUACCCUUGUAGUC